rnacentral:rRNA from 1 species
AUGAACUUCCUUAUAAAGAAGAGAUGUUAUGGCCACAACGGUCCCGUAUCACGUGGCUCAAGGAGAGCGAACACAAAAUACUUCCAGAGCAAGUCGGUUUGGAGAGCUAGGAAAAAAAUUCGGGAGCUUCUAGACAAUGAUGGUAAUGUAUUCACAUACACUGGAACUAUGUGUAACAUGGCCACUUCUUAUUUUAAAAACAUCUUCAUAGCUGAUCCAUCAUUAAAUGCCUCAGCGCUUGUGGACCUCUUUCAUGCGGUAAUAACACAUGAUGAAAAUGACAAACUAUGUGCUGACUUCUCCGAUCAGGAGAUAUCUGAUGCUCUUUUCCAGAUAGGAUCUUUGAAGGCACCAGGGUCAGAUGGGUUCCCGGCGAGAUUUUUUUAA